rnacentral:rRNA from 1 species
UACGUAGGGGGCUAGCGUUGUCCGGAAUCAUUGGGCGUAAAGAGCGUGUAGGCGGCCAGGUAGGUCUGCUGUGAAAACUCGAGGCUCAACCUCGAGACGUCGGCGGAAACCAUCUGGCUAGAGUCCGGAAGAGGAGAGUGGAAUUCCUGGUGUAGCGGUGAAAUGCGCAGAUAUCAGGAAGAACACCCGUGGCGAAGGCGGCUCUCUGGGACGGUACUGACGCUGAGACGCGAAAGCGUGGGGAGCGAACCGG